GAUGAACGCUGGCGGCGUGCCUAAUACAUGCAAGUCGAGCGAACAGACGAGGAGCUUGCUCCUCUGACGUUAGCGGCGGACGGGUGAGUAACACGUGGAUAACCUACCUAUAAGACUGGGAUAACUUCGGGAAACCGGAGCUAAUACCGGAUAAUAUAUUCAACCGCAUGGUUCAAUAGUGAAAGACGGUUUUGCUGUCACUUAUAGAUGGAUCCGCGCCGCAUUAGCUAGUUGGUAAGGUAACGGCUUACCAAGGCAACGAUGCGUAGCCGACCUGAGAGGAUGAUCGGCCACACUGGAACUGAGACACGGUCCAGACUCCUACGGGAGGCAGCAGUAGGGAAUCUUGCGCAAUGGGCGAAAGCCUGACGGAGCAACACCGCGUGAGUGAUGAAGGUCUUCGGAUCGUAAAGCUCUGUUGUUGGGGAAGAACAGAAGUGUAAGUAACUAUGCACGUCUUGACGGUACCUAAACAGAAAGCCACGGCUAACUACGUG
rnacentral:rRNA from 1 species